CAACAGCCCAGCCCUAGCUUGGGAGCGGACCCACACGAACUGCUCAAAGGCUUGGAGCGGGUCUAGUAAGGCGAACGGACUGCUUCCGGCCAGAGGUCCCGGGCGGAGGAGGAAGCUGUGGCUGCCGGCGGUGGGACGCCCCGGCCGCUCAGCCCCCGGGCACUGCUGUGGGGCGUUCAGGAUCGGGUUCAUACGUAGUGCCGCAUCAAGUAGCGCCUUCAUCACUCCAGUGAUCUGCCCUCAAUCCGUCUCUCCCACUGGCCCACGAAUAGUGAUGGUAGUGAGUUCCUGGAGUGACUCAAGCUGAGCUGAAUGACCGUAUGGAGAGCUUCCGUAAAUCAAAUAGGGAUUGGAUUGGAUUGUCCUUUCUCUCCAGUGUCACAAGUUGUCCACAUUUGUACAAGUUCCCGCACAACCCUCACUGUAUUCCAGUCUGCCUACUUCUCUGCAUCUACCGCCAUCACCAACCUUCUAGCCACCAUCAUCUCCUGCCUGGACUGAUGUAGUUCUCCCCACAUCCCCUCUACAAUCCAUUCUCCACGAAGCAGUCAGAUUGAUCAUUUUGCACUGUAAGUCUGAUCAAGUCACUCCCUGCUUAAAACCCUCCAGUGUCUCAUUCACUUAAAAUAAAAUUCAGACGUCUUAGCUUGACCAAGA
rnacentral:lncRNA from 10 species